CUGUCGUCAGCUCGUGUUGUGAAAUGUUGGGUUAAGUCCCGCAACGAGCGCAACCCUUAUCCUUUGUUGCCAGCGGUUAGGCCGGGAACUCAAAGGAGACUGCCAGUGAUAAACUGGAGGAAGGUGGGGAUGACGUCAAGUCAUCAUGGCCCUUACGACCAGGGCUACACACGUGCUACAAUGGCAUAUACAAAGAGAAGCGACCUCGCGAGAGCAAGCGGACCUCAUAAAGUAUGUCGUAGUCCGGAUUGGAGUCUGCAACUCGACUCCAUGAAGUCGGAAUCGCUAGUAAUCGUAGAUCAGAAUGCUACGGUGAAUACGUUCCCGGGCCUUGUACACACCGCCCGUCACACCAUGGGAGUGGGUUGCAAAAGAAGUAGGUAGCUUAACCUUCGGGAGGGCGCUUACCACUUUGUGAUUCAUGACUGGGGUGAAGUCGUAACAAGGUAACCGUAGGGGAACCUGCGGUUGGAUCACCUCCUUA
rnacentral:rRNA from 1 species